rnacentral:rRNA from 1 species
AUUGAACGCUGGCGGCAUGCCUUACACAUGCAAGUCGAACGGCAUCGCGGGAAAGCUUGCUUUCCUGGCGGCGAGUGGCGAACGGGUGAGUAACACAUCGGAACGUACCGGCUAGUGGGGGAUAACCCGUCGAAAGACGGGCUAAUACCGCAUACGCUCUUCGGAGGAAAGCAGGGGACCUUUGGGCCUUGCGCUAGCCGAGCGGCCGAUGUCCGAUUAGCUAGUUGGUGGGGUAAAGGCCUACCAGGGCGACGAUCGGUAGCGGGUCUGAGAGGACGAUCCGCCACACUGGGACUGAGACACGGCCCAGACUCCUACGGGAGGCAGCAGUGGGGAAUCUUGGACAAUGGGGGCAACCCUGAUCCAGCAAUGCCGCGUGGGUGAAGAAGGCCUUCGGGUUGUAAAGCCCUUUCGGCAGGGAAGAAAUCGGCGGGGCGAAUAACCCUGCUGGAUGACGGUACCUGCAGAAGAAGCACCGGCUAACUACGUG